rnacentral:snRNA from 1 species
GAGACGGGGUAAGUAUAUUCGU